rnacentral:rRNA from 1 species
GACGAACGCUGGCGGCGUGCCUAAUACAUGCAAGUUGAGCGCUGAAGGUUGGUACUUGUACCAACUGGAUGAGCAGCGAACGGGUGAGUAACGCGUGGGGAAUCUGCCUUUGAGCGGGGGACAACAUUUGGAAACGAAUGCCAAUACCGCAUAAAAACUUUAAACACAAGUUUUAAGUUUGAAAGAUGCAAUUGCAUCACUCAAAGAUGAUCCCGCGUUGUAUUAGCUAGUUGGUGAGGUAAAGGCUCACCAAGGCGAUGAUACAUAGCCGACCUGAGAGGGUGAUCGGACACAUUGGGACUGAGACACGGCCCAAACUCCUACGGGAGGCAGCAGUAGGGAAUCUUCGGCAAUGGACGAAAGUCUGACCGAGCAACGCCGCGUGAGUGAAGAAGGGUUUCGGAUCGGAAAACUCUGUUGGUAGAGAAGAACGUUGGUGAGAGUGGAAAGCUCAUCAAGUGACGGUAACUACCCAGAAAGGGACGGCUAACUACGUG